ensembl:rRNA 5S_rRNA 5S ribosomal RNA
GUCUACAGCCAUGUCACCUUGGACAUGCCUGAUCUUGUCUGAUCUUGGAAGCUAAUCAGGGUCAGAUAUGGUCAGUAUUUGGAUAGGAGGAAUCUGCAGCUUAAUUGCUCAGGGAA